rnacentral:tRNA from 1 species
GGGUCGUUAGCUCAGUCGGUAGAGCAGCAGACUUUUAAUCCGUUGGUCGAGCGUUCGAAUCGCUCACGACCCACCA